UGGCAUCCUACUACGAGAUCCUAGACGUGC
rnacentral:piRNA from 2 species